rnacentral:rRNA from 1 species
CAGUAGCCACGGUAAUACGGAGAAUCCAAGCGUUAUCCGGAAUCAUUGGGUUUAAAGGGUCCGUAGGCGGUCUUGUAAGUCAGUGGUGAAAGCCCAUCGCUCAACGGUGGAACGGCCAUUGAUACUGCAGGACUUGAAUUAUUGGGAAGUAACUAGAAUAUGUAGUGUAGCGGUGAAAUGCUUAGAGAUUACAUGGAAUACCAAUUGCGAAGGCAGGUUACUACCAAUUGAUUGACGCUGAUGGACGAAAGCGUGGGUAGCGAACAGGAUUAGAUACCCGUGUAGUCCCUGUCUCUUAUAC